rnacentral:rRNA from 1 species
CAGUCGAACGAACUCUGGUAUUGAUUGGUGCUUGCAUCAUGAUUUACAUUUGAGUGAGUGGCGAACUGGUGAGUAACACGUGGGAAACCUGCCCAGAAGCGGGGGAUAACACCUGGAAACAGAUGCUAAUACCGCAUAACAACUUGGACCGCAUGGUCCGAGCUUGAAAGAUGGCUUCGGCUAUCACUUUUGGAUGGUCCCGCGGCGUAUUAGCUAGAUGGUGGGGUAACGGCUCACCAUGGCAAUGAUACGUAGCCGACCUGAGAGGGUAAUCGGCCACAUUGGGACUGAGACACGGCCCAAACUCCUACGGGAGGCAGCAGUAGGGAAUCUUCCACAAUGGACGAAAGUCUGAUGGAGCAACGCCGCGUGAGUGAAGAAGGGUUUCGGCUCGUAAAACUCUGUUGUUAAAGAAGAACAUAUCUGAGAGUAACUGUUCAGGUAUUGACGGUAUUUAACCAGAAAGCCACGGCUAACUACGUGCCGGCAGCCGCGGUAAUACGUAGGUGGCAAGCGUUGUCCGGAUUUAUUGGGCGUAAAGCGAGCGCAGGCGGUUUUUUAAGUCUGAUGUGAAAGCCUUCGGCUCAACCGAAGAAGUGCAUCGGAAACUGGGAAACUUGAGUGCAGAAGAGGACAGUGGAACUCCAUGUGUAGCGGUGAAAUGCGUAGAUAUAUGGAAGAACACCAGUGGCGAAGGCGGCUGUCUGGUCUGUAACUGACGCUGAGGCUCGAAAGUAUGGGUAGCAAACAGGAUUAGAUACCCUGGUAGUCCAUACCGUAAACGAUGAAUGCUAAGUGUUGGAGGGUUUCCGCCCUUCAGUGCUGCAGCUAACGCAUUAAGCAUUCCGCCUGGGGAGUACGGCCGCAAGGCUGAAACUCAAAGGAAUUGACGGGGG